rnacentral:rRNA from 20 species
UUAAAUUGAAGAGUUUGAUCAUGGCUCAGAUUGAACGCUGGCGGCAGGCCUAACACAUGCAAGUCGAACGGUAACAGGAAGCAGCUUGCUGCUUCGCUGACGAGUGGCGGACGGGUGAGUAAUGUCUGGGAAACUGCCUGAUGGAGGGGGAUAACUACUGGAAACGGUGGCUAAUACCGCAUAACGUCGCAAGACCAAAGAGGGGGACCUUCGGGCCUCUUGCCAUCAGAUGUGCCCAGAUGGGAUUAGCUUGUUGGUGAGGUAACGGCUCACCAAGGCGACGAUCCCUAGCUGGUCUGAGAGGAUGACCAGCCACACUGGAACUGAGACACGGUCCAGACUCCUACGGGAGGCAGCAGUGGGGAAUAUUGCACAAUGGGCGCAAGCCUGAUGCAGCCAUGCCGCGUGUAUGAAGAAGGCCUUCGGGUUGUAAAGUACUUUCAGCGGGGAGGAAGGUGUUGUGGUUAAUAACCGCAGCAAUUGACGUUACCCGCAGAAGAAGCACCGGCUAACUCCGUGCCAGCAGCCGCGGUAAUACGGAGGGUGCAAGCGUUAAUCGGAAUUACUGGGCGUAAAGCGCACGCAGGCGGUCUGUCAAGUCGGAUGUGAAAUCCCCGGGCUCAACCUGGGAACUGCAUUCGAAACUGGCAGGCUUGAGUCUUGUAGAGGGGGGUAGAAUUCCAGGUGUAGCGGUGAAAUGCGUAGAGAUCUGGAGGAAUACCGGUGGCGAAGGCGGCCCCCUGGACAAAGACUGACGCUCAGGUGCGAAAGCGUGGGGAGCAAACAGGAUUAGAUACCCUGGUAGUCCACGCCGUAAACGAUGUCUACUUGGAGGUUGUGCCCUUGAGGCGUGGCUUCCGGAGCUAACGCGUUAAGUAGACCGCCUGGGGAGUACGGCCGCAAGGUUAAAACUCAAAUGAAUUGACGGGGGCCCGCACAAGCGGUGGAGCAUGUGGUUUAAUUCGAUGCAACGCGAAGAACCUUACCUGGUCUUGACAUCCACAGAACUUUCCAGAGAUGGAUUGGUGCCUUCGGGAACUGUGAGACAGGUGCUGCAUGGCUGUCGUCAGCUCGUGUUGUGAAAUGUUGGGUUAAGUCCCGCAACGAGCGCAACCCUUAUCCUUUGUUGCCAGCGAUUAGGUCGGGAACUCAAAGGAGACUGCCAGUGAUAAACUGGAGGAAGGUGGGGAUGACGUCAAGUCAUCAUGGCCCUUACGACCAGGGCUACACACGUGCUACAAUGGCGCAUACAAAGAGAAGCGACCUCGCGAGAGCAAGCGGACCUCAUAAAGUGCGUCGUAGUCCGGAUUGGAGUCUGCAACUCGACUCCAUGAAGUCGGAAUCGCUAGUAAUCGUGGAUCAGAAUGCCACGGUGAAUACGUUCCCGGGCCUUGUACACACCGCCCGUCACACCAUGGGAGUGGGUUGCAAAAGAAGUAGGUAGCUUAACCUUCGGGAGGGCGCUUACCACUUUGUGAUUCAUGACUGGGGUGAAGUCGUAACAAGGUAACCGUAGGGGAACCUGCGGUUGGAUCACCUCCUUACCUUAAAGAA